rnacentral:hammerhead_ribozyme from 1 species
GUACUGCUGAGGAGUCCCAUACUAGGACGAAACGGUUGUCCAGUGC